CGGUGACGGCUCGCAGGCCGGCGCGGCGGCGAGAAUCAGGAAGGGUGGCGGCGGAAAUCAGGUAGCCGGUCCAUGUCCACUCCGAUUUAGCCUCCUUCCCCAUCCGAUUUGGCCUCCUUCCUCUCCAAUUUUGCAAGGUGAGAAGAACUGUGCUGCAUAUGCUCAUGUUUACUCCAAUUUGACCAGGGGAUCUGCUGUUCAUUUAAUAUGAUUAGAGAAGAGCACACAUACACGAGAGAUGUACAUAUAUUAUCAUGAAUUAGUAGUUAUUACUUUAGGUGAAUCAUGUCUUGCCUUCUCUGAUUCUAGCCUGAAUUAAGUGUGAUAUACGGGUCGCUGUCACCGUCUCCCCAUUCCAGGACUGCCGCGCCGCCACCCCAAGGCUCAAAGCUGCACCAGCGAGAUGGUGUUGGUUGGCUCAUCCGCUGCUACCACAUCGGCGCCGAUACCUACUCCUUCCAAUAUGGCCGUGGUUUUCGUCUGCAUUCUCUCUAAUAUAUCCUACAUAUAUUGUUUAGAUUGAUUCAUGGGUUAAUUAAAUUCAAUCAUGCCUUGUUCUGUUUGUUUGCAGGCGAUGAGGUGAGCCUACCAUUUUCUUCCUGCUGCUCUUCCAUACACGAAUAUUUGGGAUGGUAUAACGUAGCUCCAAUUCAAUAUACAGUAAUUUUGAUGAUAUUUAUGUCUGACCAUAUGGGAGUAUGAAGACCCUAAAAUAGUUUUUCCUGCUGAGCUACUUGAAGACCAAAACAAUUUCACAUGGAACAUUUCGUAUAUGUACUUUACCUUGUCUAAUUUCAUUUGUUACAAUAGACUGUACUGUUCUAGAAUUUCCAUUUUAUAUCACAUGGGUGGGGUUCUUUCAGCAGUAUCAUGCCCUCUUAAGUGCGUCAGAUGUCUGGCUACCGGAAUAAUGUAUAUUUUGCCUUACCAGGUUAUCCUGUAUGUCGGUGAUAAGGUGCAUCAUCAUCCUCUCUGGAGAAUGGUGCAUGAAGAUAUCUACAAAUCUUCCUGCAUCAUCUGAUUCAAAUUUAUGUUCAUUUAAGUUUGCAUACUUUAUUUUCGAAUCUCCCUCAAUCGGGUAGCGCAUGCUAGCUAUUACAUAUGUUGUUCUUACAUUUCUCGGAAUAGCUUUGUUUUACUUGCCUUAGAUCAUUAUUUAUUAUAGUACUUUUAUAGUUAUUUUUGUGCACGGUCUAUAACUUCCUUUAUUUUUUAAUCAAUGCAGCUAUGAAUUACCAUUUGAUGUGAUCCUGACAAGUUAUGACAUAGCCUUAAAUCAAGACUUACCUUUCAGAAAUUCCCUGGCUCCAUGGUGAUUUAUGAGGCCAAGGGUCUUAAAAAUCCAUCAAUUGUAUUAUAUAGUGUCCUCAAAGGCCAUUUUAUGAUGACAAGGUGUCUACCACUAGAAGGCAUUACUAUGCAGAACAAACUUUCUGAACUAUGGGUGUAGAUGCCCUUCUACAUGAUAUGAGUUUCCGGGCCACUAGAUGAGCUUCUUUCUAUUUGCAAGGGAGCAGGUGAUUUGCGAGCAAGUAGGUUGUUCAGUGUGGUGAUGAUUGCGAGCAAAGAGGAAGGGGACGAGGAGGUGAAGAUGAGGGUGGUGGGUGCUUGUCGAUUGUGCCUGCCUGUCACCGGUUGGUCUGAGUGGAACUACUGCCGCAAUAUGCAAGAAGCAAAGGUGUGUCUAUGUCCCUCUACAUUUUCAUUGAUGCUCGCCUUGAUGUCUGCAUUGAUUCAUGUCAUUUCUUGGCCAUGCAUAUGGUUGAAAUCAUAUUAAGAUAAAGCAAGGAAAGCUAGAAGAU